GAAAGAGGAUGAAAAUCAGAAGCCAUGGGAGAAGAGAGAACCAUGAGUUCUCAUGGAAAUCCUAUGUUUAGAUUUUUCGUUGAAAUAUCGAUCCAAUCGCGUAAACGUUAUGAAAUCAAUAUAAGGCAUAGAAGCUUGUAACACGAGUCGUGCAAAAAUGAAUGGACCUGGAAGAUAGCUAAGGGUCGAAAGGUGAAAUAGGCUUAUGUUCAUAAGCCUGCGAGCGGCCUAGAGCAAUCCGAAAACAACGUAGACACAUAGGGCGGCGGAAUCCGGGAGGAAAACCGACUACAGAGCCGCGACCGCAGCGUAGCCGGAGGAGACGAUCAGAUGGUGCGCGAGGCGGUGGAGAGGGGGGAAACUGAGCGCAGCGGCGCAUGCGAGGUAGUUCAGGGCGGAGGUGGCGACGGCGACGCGCAUUGCGAUUGGAUGCGUGGCGAAUGGGGACUGGCUGGGAUCGUGAAUCCACUGGGAUUUGAGCUGGAGGAAGGCUUGGAGCUAUUGAACUCCUCCAUCUACAAAGUCAUGUCCUAUUAGCAACCUACCAGCCUUUCUGGCUUAAUUGAUCAUAUUAAAAGAGAGAAUUAUUCAACUUGAACUCGAUAUCCCUUUGUUCUUCUGGAAAAAUACUACUCCAGUUCUCCUCUCUCUUGGGAGAGAAACUGAGAAAAUGUUUAUUCUUUUAAUAAUUUUUCUGAUACAGUGGCGAGCUUGUAGUUGAAGAGAAUUUCCUCGGUAUUUGCAGUAAGGAGUCGCUUGCUAGAGGAGGAGAGCUCUUGAAACGAACGCGAAAGGGUAAAGAGCGAGGAUUGCGGAGGUGGUGAGCUCGCUGGAGUGCGGGCUGGGGUGAUCGGAGAUGUAGCAUUGUGCGGCGAGAAAUGCGGCGGCGAAUUUGCCGGAGAUGGAGACGUAGAAGGCGGAAAGGACUCGGAACGACGUCGUUGUUGGUGUGGUGUUUACUGCGUUUCGUGGCAUUAUGCGUGUGUUAGAGAGAGAGAGAUGGAGGAA